ACUCCUACGGGAGGCAGCAGUGGGGAAUAUUGCACAAUGGGGGAAACCCUGAUGCAGCCAUGCCGCGUGUGUGAAGAAGGCCUCGGUUGUAAAGCACUUCAGUAGGGAGGAAGGUAGUGUAGUUAACACCUGCAUUAUUUGACGUUACCUACAGAAGAAGCACCGGCUAACUCCGUGCCAGCAGCCGCGGUAAUACGGAGGGGUGCGAGCGUUAAUCGGAAUUACUGGGCGUAAAGCGCAUGCAGGCGGCCUGUUAAGUCAGAUGUGAAAGCCCGGGGGCUUAACCUCGGAAUUGCAUUUGAAACUGGCAGGCUAGAGUCUUGUAGAGGGGGUAGAAUUUCAGGUGUAGCGGUGAAAUGCGUAGAGAUCUGAAGGAAUACCAGUGGCGAAGGCGGCCCCCUGGACAAAGACUGACGCUCAGAUGCGAAAGCGUGGGGAGCAAACAGGAUUAGAUACCCUGGUAGACUGUCA
rnacentral:rRNA from 1 species